AUAGGGUCUCUCUCUCUGCCACCCAGGCCAGAGUGUAGUUGAUGCAGGGCAGCGGAGCCCCGAAGUGGAGCAUCGUGUGUCCGGAACUGGUGGGUUCUUGGUCUCACUGACUUCAAGAAUGAAGCCGCAGACCCUUGUGAGACAGGGUUUCACCAUGUUGGCCAGGCUGGUCUCGAACUCCUGACCUCGUGAUCUGCCUGCUUGGCCUCCCAAAGUCCUGGGAUUACAGGCAUGAGCCACCGUACCCAGCCACUCUUGGUUAACUUAAUGGAAAUAUUUACAGAGAUUCUUUCUCUUCUGGGUUCUAGCGUCUUAUCUGUACCCUCUGCAGGUGCAGGAAUGAGAGGCAGCAGCCAGGGAAGCCAGGGUCUCCGGCAGUCCUUGUCUCUGUGCAGUGAUCCAGAGAGAGAGAGAACACGAUUGUCUCAGCACUGGGUCUUCUUCUGAGCCUUGAAGGAGCAAUUCCAGAGCGUCUCGGUGUUAAACAUCAUGUUGUGAAUGACCCCGUGAGCUCUGACCCAGUGACCUUGGGGAUAAAGGAGGGGAGGUACAGAGAAGCUCUUCGAAUGGAUGUUGCCAGGGUGUCAGUGUUCUUUGAGGGCACAGACUAUGUGUCAAAAAAGAAAGAGUUCAGUGCCUUUUGUCAUUGCUCAAGAGAUUGAAGGCAUAGGAAGAAAAGAUGUUAAGUUAUAAACAUGUUUCAGGUUUGGUACCACUUGAACCCACUUAUGUUUUGAAGAGGAAAGAGUCUUGCCUACAAAGUCAGCCCCUGGGUUUUCCUUCUGCUUAUGGAAUCCAGGCAAUGGGCAAAGAGAAAAAGAAAACUAAGGAAUCAGCCAGGUGCAGUGGCUCAUGCUUGUAAUCUUGGCACUUUGAGAGGCUGAGGCAGGUGGACUUCUUGAGUCCAGGAGUUCAAGACCAGCCUGGCCAACAUAGUGAGACCCCGUUUCUACAAAAAAUACA
rnacentral:lncRNA from 1 species